rnacentral:rRNA from 1 species
UAGGGAAUCUUCGGCAAUGGGGGCAACCCUGACCGAGCAACGCCGCGUGAGUGAAGAAGGUUUUCGGAUCGUAAAGCUCUGUUGUAAGAGAAGAACGAGUGUGAGAGUGGAAAGUUCACACUGUGACGGUAACUUACCAGAAAGGGACGGCUAACUACGUGCCAGCAGCCGCGGUAAUACGUAGGUCCCGAGCGUUAUCCGGAUUUAUUGGGGNGUAAAGCGAGCGCAGGCGGUUAGAUAAGUCUGAAGUUAAAGGCUGUGGCUUAACCAUAGUACGCUUUGGAAACUGUUUAACUUGAGUGCAGAAGGGGAGAGUGGAAUUCCAUGUGUAGCGGUGAAAUGCGUAGAUAUAUGGAGGAACACCGGUGGCGAAAGCGGCUCUCUGGUCUGUAACUGACGCUGAGGCUCGAAAGCGUGGGGAGCAAACAGGAUUAGAUACCCUGGUAGUCCACGCCGUANCGAUGAGUGCUAGGUGUUGGGUCCUUUCCGGGACUCAGUGCCGCAGCUNACGCANUAAGCACUCCGCCUGGGGAGUACGACCGCAAGGUU